rnacentral:rRNA from 1 species
UACGGAGGAUUCGAGCGUUAUCCGGAUUUAUUGGGUUUAAAGGGUGCGUAGGCGGUUUAUUAAGUCAGUGGUGAAAUUUUUGGGCUCAACCCAGACAUUGCCAUUGAUACUGGUAGACUUGAGUACACAUGACGUAGGCGGAAUUAGUCAAGUAGCGGUGAAAUGCAUAGAUAUGACUAGGAACCCCAAUUGCGAAGGCAGCUUACGAAAGUGUAACUGACGCUGAUGCACGAAAGCGUGGGUAGCGAACAGGAUUAGAUACCCCCGUA